UUGAUAAGCGUGAGGUCGGAGGUUCAAGUCCUCCCAGGCCCACCAAUUUACCUAUCCAUUUGCCUUUAUCCGUUUAUUUGCCGAUUUAUCGGUCCAUUGAAUUUAAGUGUUGGUAGCAGUUUUUAUAAUGAUGAGAAAUCAUGCUUAUAAAAGAACUCCUUAUAAAAGGCUUGUUUUUAAAAUGUGACGCUUAUCCAUUUCGCUUAGGCAAGAGAAACUUCAAGCGGUUCAAAUGCAAAAGGUUUUAAAUUUUGCAAAACAAUUUAAAUUUUAAAGUGAUCCAAGUUCGUGAUCUCGAAUUUAAAAGUUUCGAAUGCUUUAUCCUUUUUUGGGGGCCGUAGCUCAGCUGGGAGAGCACCUGCUUUG
rnacentral:misc_RNA from 1 species